CAGCCGUAGGCAGUAAAUACAAUGCUUUGUACAGCGCGAAGUCACCAUUGCCGGCAGUGCUGCCGGCGCAAUCUUCCAUCUGGGAAAGUCUCUCCUCUUUGGCAACAGUCCGUUGGCCAGGGGGGGAGAGAGGGAGUGGGUAGAGCUAAAGCAUGAAAUACUCUUGACUAUAAAUUAAGUUUAAGUUUAAAUUAUCGACUAAGGGGAACAUUAUGGUUGCCUUACAUUGGCGGGGAAGGGAGAUUUUUUGAUGUGUAAACUUGCUCAGGGUGUGACCUGACGCAAACUUUAUUAAUGUUCUUAUUACUAUCUAGCAACAUAUAACAUUAUAUCUGACAACAUUACAAGUUUUGGCAACAUAAGAUUACAUAAAUAUCGAUAACAAUAUGGUAUUUAUUACAAUUAAUUAAAAAUUUUUUUUUUCUUGCUUCAAUUUAAUUUUAUUUUAAGAUUAAGCUCAGGUUAGCCCGCUCGGCCGAGUGGCUGCUGGUCCGGCCACCGAGGAUGCGUUGCCUGUGGAUUGGCUCGAUCAACCGAGUGGCUGCUGGUCCGGCCACCCGGGAUGCGUAUGGGUCUGGAGGAUGUUUUGACUUUUGAUGUGCGGAGAAUUUGGUUUGCUGCAGAUUUGGUUUAUAUUUUAUAGGUUUGGUG
rnacentral:sRNA from 1 species